UUCCCUCCAUCUCAUUAGAAGGGUCACGAUUUGUAGUUUUAGACUUUUUUACAAUAUUUUUAUUUGUAUUAUAUAACUUUUGAAGAAAAUAUGUUUUAUGCUGAUCAUGGUAACGUUGAGGACGACAUGUUAAAGUAAAAGAAGAAGGGUGAUCGAGCCUAUUCUAGAGGAUGGCAAAGUUAAGAUCUUCUCAUCACACAACCAGAUGUGUUGUCAAUGGUCGUGCUGCGGAUUGAUUGCAAUUGCAGAAGCAGAAUUAUGGUUGUUCUGUAUAUACAAAUCUGGUAGGUACUUAAGAAUGUAUUGAAGAAACAUACAC